AUAAAGUCACUGGGCGCAAGUUCAGUGAUGAAAGGAGGCCUCUGCAUAGCAAGCUUCUGCCUGGGGAGGGGCUCGCGGCCCAUCAGCUAGUUGGUGGGGUAACGGCCCACCAAGGCUAUGACGGGUAGCCGGCCUGAGAGGGUGGUCGGCCACACGGGCACUGAGACACGGGCCCCACUCCUACGGGAGGCAGCAGUCGGGAAUUUUGGGCAAUGGGCGAAAGCCUGACCCAGCGACGCCGCGUGGGGGAAGAAGGCCUUCGGGUCGUAAACCCCUGUUCUGGGGGAAGAACCCUGAGUGGGUUAAGAGCCCAUUCAGGCUGACGGUACCCCAGGAGCAAGCCACGGCUAACUGCGUGCCAGCAGCCGCGGUAAUACGCAGGUGGCGAGCGUUGCCCGGAAUCACUGGGCGUAAAGGGUGCGUAGGCGGCAGGGUAAGUCGCAGGUUAAAGCCCGGGGCUCAACCCCGGAAAGGCCUGCGAUACUGCCUUGCUUGAGGGCCGGAGAGGCUGGCGGAAUUCCCGGUGUAGGGGUGAAAUCCGUAGAUAACGGGAGGAACACCGGUGGGAAGCCGGCCAGCUGGACGGUCCCUGACGCUGAGGCACGAAAGCGUGGGGAGCAAACCGGAUUAGAUACCCGGGUAGUCCACGCCGUAAACGAUGGGUGCUAGGUCUGAGGAGGAA
rnacentral:rRNA from 1 species